rnacentral:tRNA from 1 species
UCCGGGGUCGUUCAAUGGCAGGACAACAGAUUUUGGAUCUGUUUAUCGGAGUUCGAAUCUCUGCCCCGGAACCA